AGCCUUCUGUAUCCGUGCUGAGAUUUCGUCACACACCAGACCACAAGGGCUGAUGAGACUCUCAACAUGAUUUCAUGAAAACC
rfam:Schistosoma mansoni strain Puerto Rico chromosome W, complete genome